rnacentral:rRNA from 1 species
GACGAACGCUGGCGGCGUGCUUAACACAUGCAAGUCGAACGGUGAAGGGACCGGUUUUUGCUGGUUCUGGAUGAGUGGCGAACGGGUGAGUAACACGUGAGUAACCUGCCCCCUUCUUCUGGAUAACCGCAUGAAAGUGUGGCUAAUACGGGAUAUUCUGCGCCUGCUGCAUGGUGGGUGUGGGAAAGAUAUUGUUUCGGUGGGGGAUGGGCUCGCGGCCUAUCAGCUUGUUGGUGGGGUGAUGGCCUACCAAGGCGGUGACAGGUAGCCGGCCUGAGAGGGUGGACGGUCACACUGGGACUGAGACACGGCCCAGACUCCUACGGGAGGCAGCAGUGGGGAAUAUUGCACAAUGGGCGCAAGCCUGAUGCAGCGACGCCGCGGGAGGGAUGGAGGCCUUCGGGUUGUAAACCUCUUUCGCCAGUGAAGCAGGCCUGUCCCUUGUGUGGGUGGGUUGGCGGUAGCUGGAUAAGAAGCGCCGGCUAACUACGUG